UUUCCGUAGGUGAACCUGCGGAAGGAUCAUUAAAAAUGAAGCCGGGAAACCGGUCCUCCUCACCCUUGAUUAUCUCAAAUUGUUGCUUUGGUGGGCCGCGCAAGCACCGGCUUCGGCUGGAUUGUGCCCGCCAGAGGACCACAACUCUGUAUUAUAUGUCGUCUGAGUACUAUAAAAUAGUUAAAACUUUCAACAAUGGAUCUCUUGGUUCUG
rnacentral:misc_RNA from 1 species